rnacentral:tRNA from 1 species
UCAUUAAGAAGCUAUGCAUCAGCGCUAGCCUUUUAAGCUAGAAAAAGAGGAACAUACAUCCUCCUUAAUGAU